rnacentral:rRNA from 1 species
GACGGAGGAUGCAAGUGUUAUCCGGAAUCACUGGGCGUAAAGCGUCUGUAGGUGGUUUAAUAAGUCAACUGUUAAAUCUUGAGGCUCAACCUCAAAAUCGCAGUCGAAACUAUUAGGCUAGAGUAUAGUAGGGGUAAAGGGAAUUUCCAGUGGAGCGGUGAAAUGCGUAGAGAUUGGAAAGAACACCGAUGGCGAAGGCGCUUUACUGGGCUAUUACUAACACUCAGAGACGAAAGCGAGGGUAGCAAAUGGG